GCGGAAGUUUUCGGAUGGAAGCAAUAAACCUUAGCGGCGGACGGGUGAGUAACGCGUGGGUAACCUGCCUCAUACAGGGGGAUAACAGUUAGAAAUGACUGCUAAAACCGCAUAAGCGCACAUUGUCGAGUGACAGAGUGUGAAAAACUCCGGUGGUAUGAGAUGGACCCGCGUCUGAUUAGCUAGUUGGUGAGGUAACGGCCCACCAAGGCGACGAUCAGUAGCCGGCCUGAGAGGGCGACCGGCCACAUUGGGACUGAGACACGGCCCAAACUCCUACGGGAGGCAGCAGUGGGGAAUAUUGCACAAUGGGGGAAACCCUGAUGCAGCGACGCCGCGUGAGUGAAGAAGUAUUUCGGUAUGUAAAGCUCUAUCAGCAGGGAAGAAGAAAGACGGUACCUGACUAAGAAGCCCCGGCUAACUACGUGCCAGCAGCCGCGGUAAUACGUAGGGGGCAAGCGUUAUCCGGAUUUACUGGGUGUAAAGGGAGCGUAGACGGCUGUGCAAGUCUGAAGUGAAAGCCCAGGGCUCAACCCUGGGACUGCUUUGGAAACUGUGGAGCUAGAGUGCUGGAGAGGUAAGUGGAAUUCCUAGUGUAGCGGUGAAAUGCGUAGAUAUUAGGAGGAACACCAGUGGCGAAGGCGGCUUACUGGACAGUAACUGACGUUGAGGCUCGAAAGCGUGGGGAGCAAACAGGAUUAGAUACCCUGGUAGUCCACGCGGUAAACGAUGAAUACUAGGUGUUGGAGAGCAAAGCUUUUCGGUGCCGUCGCAAACGCAAUAAGUAUUCCACCUGGGGAGUACGUUCGCAAGAAUGAAACUCAAAGGAAUUGACGGGGACCCGCACAAGCGGU
rnacentral:rRNA from 1 species